CCCUUAGACGUUCUGGGCCGCACGCGCGCUACACUGACCAGUGCAACAAGCAUCCGUCCUUGGCCGACAGGCCCGGGCAAUCUUUGAACGCUGGUCGUGAUGGGGAUAGACUUUUGCAAUUUUUGGUCUUCAACGAGGAAUUCCUAGUAAACGCAAGUCAUCAACUUGCAUUGAUUACGUCCCUGCCCUUUGUACACACCGCCCGUCGCACCUACCGAUUGAAUGGUCCGGUGAAGCCUCCGGAUUGGCGCGCACCUCGGUGCCGCCGAGAAGUUGGUUAAACCUUACCAUUUAGAGGAAGGUGAAGUCGUAACA
rnacentral:rRNA from 1 species